rnacentral:rRNA from 1 species
AGUGAACGCUGGCGGUAGGCCUAACACAUGCAAGUCGAACGGCAGCACAGUAAGAGCUCGCUCUUACGGGUGGCGAGUGGCGGACGGGUGAGGAAUACAUCGGAAUCUACUUUUUCGUGGGUGAUAACGUAGGGAAACUUACGCUAAUACCGCAUACUACCUACGGGUGAAAGCAGGGGAUCUUCGGACCUUGCGCGAUUGAAUGAGCCGACGUCGGAUUAGCUGGUUGGCUGGGUAAAGGCCCACCAAGGCGACGAUCCGUAGCUGGUCUGAGAGGAUGAUCAGCCACACUGGAACUGAGACACGGUCCAGACUCCUACGGGAGGCAGCAGUGGGGAAUAUUGGACAAUGGGCGCAAGCCUGACCCAGCCAUACCGCGUGGGUGAAGAAGGCCUUCGGGUUGUAAAGCCCUUUUGUUGGGAAAGAAAAGCAGCAGGUUAAUACCCCGCUGUUCUGACGGUACCCAAAGAAUAAGCACCGGCUAACUUCGUG